UGAGUUUCUUAAACAGUAGGCCUAACCUC
rnacentral:piRNA from 1 species